GAUAUGGCUCAGAUGAACGCUGGCGGCAGGCCUAACACAUGUAAGUCGAACGGUAACAGGAAGCAGCUUGCUGCUUGCUGACGAGUGGCGGACGGGUGAGUAAUGUCUGGGAAACUGCCCGAUGGAGGGGGGAUAACUACUGGAAACGGUAGCGUAAUACCGCAUAAUGUCGCAAGACCAAAGAGGGGGACCUUCGGGCCUCUUGCCAUCGGAUGUGCCCAGAUGGGAUUAGCUAGUUGGUGAGGUAACGGCUCACCAAGGCGACGAUCCCUAGCUGGUCUGAGAGGAUGACCAGCCACACUGGAACUGAGACACGGUCCAGACUCCUACGGGAGGCAGCAGUGGGGAAUAUUGCACAAUGGGCGCAAGCCUGAUGCAGCCAUGCCGCGUGUAUGAAGAAGGCCUUCGGGUUGUAAAGUACUUUCAGCGGGGAGGAAGGGGUUAAGGUUAAUAACCUUAGCCAUUGACGUUACCCGCAGAAGAAGCACCGGCUAACUCCGUGCCAGCCGCUGC
rnacentral:rRNA from 1 species